rnacentral:rRNA from 1 species
UACGUAGGGGGCUAGCGUUGUCCGGAAUCAUUGGGCGUAAAGAGCGUGUAGGCGGUUCGGUAAGUCUGUCGUGAAAUCCUGAGGCUCAACCUCGGGCGUGCGAUGGAUACUGCCGGGCUAGAGGAUGGUAGAGGCGAGUGGAAUUCUUGGUGUAGCGGUGAAAUGCGCAGAUAUCAGGAGGAACACCGGUGGCGAAGGCGGGUCUCUGGGCCGUAACUGACGCUGAGGAGCGAAAGCGUGGGGAGCGAACAGG